AACGUAGGACACAAGCGUUAUCCGGAGUUACUGGGCGUAAAGGGCGUUUAGGCGGGUGAUUAAGUUCGCUAUGAAAGCGCCAGGCUAAACCUGGCGAGGCUGGCGGAUACUGGUCAUCUGGAGUAAGGAAGAGGGAGGUAGAAUUCCGCGUGUAGUGGUGAAAUGCGUAGAUAUCGAGAGGAACACCUGCGGCGAAGGCGGGUUGCUGGGCUGACACUGACGCUGAUGCGCGAAAGCCAGGGGAGCGAACGGG
rnacentral:rRNA from 1 species